GCCCUGUGGUUACUGGAUGCUGUUGUUCAUGUGCAGCUUUCUAGUGGGUAAAAGGGGCCAAAGCAAUUCUAUGAUUUAUGCAUGGGGGCUGUUUUUUUCUCAGCAGCCUCUAUAGCCCGGUCACUGAUACAAUA